rnacentral:lncRNA from 1 species
CUUAUUGUGCAACAUUUCAAUGUGUAGUACAAGAUAUGAUACAUUAUACAAUAGUAAAUAAAGCAAUAACACCAUAAAACAAUAUACAUAAAGUGAUCAGAACAUAACAUGUUGUAUUCAAUUCAUAGAAGCUGGUCUAAAAUCUGUCAUGCAACAAAAACAUAAUACCACAUGUUUGUUGACCAUAAAAACAAGAAAAAAUAUUGUUUAAGAACCUAACAUGGUUCACACAUCAAGAACCUAGACUAACACAAUAAAAUAUUGUUUAAAGACACAACCACACAAUAUUAUUUGAAGACAUGCAUUUCACUAUGGGUGUAUCCCAUAGCCCCUAUGGUUGUAUCCCAUGCUGGUAUCUCCUUUGUGCUUUUUAGCCUUUGGUUUACCUCUGAUAGGAGUGACCCCUCUUCUAGUGGUGCAUUUUCCUCUCCCUCUGCCUGCUGCAAGGCCUCCUGUUUGAGAUGUAGUUUUUCCUCCUCCUCUACUUGCUGCAACAUUGGUCCUGCAUGCCUCCCCUUUCAGAUGUUGUAGUGGUCCUUCCUCCUCCUAUACUUGCUGCAACAUUGGUCAUGCCUCCCCUUCCAAAUUGAGUAGUGGUCCUUCUUCCCCUCUCAGAUGGAGUAGUGGUCUUUCCUCCUGUGCCAGCCCUUGUAGUCGUCUCU